CGUAAUAGCUCACUGGUCGAGUCGGCCUGCGCGGAAGAUGUAACGGGGCUAAACCAUGCACCGAAGCUGCGGCAGCGACACUAUGUGUUGUUGGGUAGGGGAGCGUUCUGUAAGCCGUUGAAGGUGUCCUGUGAGGGGUGCUGGAGGUAUCAGAAGUGCGAAUGCUGACAUAAGUAACGAUAAUGCGGGUGAAAAACCCGCACGCCGGAAGACCAAGGGUUCCUGUCCAACGUUAAUCGGGGCAGGGUGAGUCGACCCCUAAGGC
rnacentral:rRNA from 1 species